rnacentral:rRNA from 1 species
AUUGAACGCUGGCGGCAGGCCUAACACAUGCAAGUCGAGCGGAUGAAGGGAGCUUGCUCCUGGAUUCAGCGGCGGACGGGUGAGUAAUGCCUAGGAAUCUGCCUGGUAGUGGGGGAUAACGUCCGGAAACGGGCGCUAAUACCGCAUACGUCCUGAGGGAGAAAGUGGGGGAUCUUCGGACCUCACGCUAUCAGAUGAGCCUAGGUCGGAUUAGCUAGUUGGUGGGGUAAAGGCCUACCAAGGCGACGAUCCGUAACUGGUCUGAGAGGAUGAUCAGUCACCCUGGAACUGGGCCCCGGCCCAGCCCCCUCCGGGAGGCAGCAGUGGGAAAUUUGGGACAAUGGGCGAAAGCCUGACCCAGCCAUGCCGGGUGUGUGAAGAAGGUUUUCGGUUUGUAAAGCACUUUAAGUUGGGAGGAAGGGCAGUAAGUUAAUCCCUUGCUGUUUUGCCGUUCCCAACAGAAUAAGCCCCGGCUAACUUCGU